rnacentral:misc_RNA from 1 species
AAGUCGUAACAAGGUUUCCGUAGGUGAACCUGCGGAAGGAUCAUUACCGAGUGGCGCGAAAUUCCUGUCGUGAGACGGGGAAGCUACCCGACCUUUUGUCAUUUUGUCAAGUCUGGCUGGCGGGAUUGCAUUCGUGAGAAGCGAAUGUGGAUUUCGGCAGACGGACCAAAACUUCGGCGGAAGAGGUAGGCGUGGACCUGCCCGCCGCCGGCCGUAGAAGACAAUAUACAUUCUUGAGAGCAAACUGAAGUCUAAGACGAUCCUUGAAAAAGGAAUACCAAAAAAAAGCAAAACUUUCAACAACGGAUCUCUUGGCUCUG